GGGCCCGUUGCCUAGUCUGGAUAGGGCACCAGCCUCCUAAGCUGGCAUUCCGCGGUUUGAAUCCGCGCGGGCCCGCCA
rnacentral:tRNA from 1 species